UCUUAUGGAUGAGCAAAGCAAAUGGUUUCUUAAGGUAGAAUCUACUCCUAGUGAAGAUGCUGUGAA
rnacentral:pre_miRNA from 3 species